rnacentral:rRNA from 1 species
GAUGAACGCUGGCGGCGUGCUUAACACAUGCAAGUCGAACGGAAAGGCCCUUCGCUGGACUCGAGUGGGGAAGGGGCGAGUAAGAAGUUGGCGAUCGGCCCGGCACUUUAGGAGAAGCCGGGGACAAUGGGUCUAAUGCCGAAUAAGCACAUCGGCUUCAUGGCCGGAGGUGGGAAGCGUUUGCGGUGGGGGAUGGGCCCGCGGCGUAUCAGCUUGCUGGUGGGGUAAUGGUCGGCCAAGGCGACGACGGGUAGCCGGCCGGAGAGGGUGACCGGCCACCAUGGGACUGCGGUACGGCCCAGACGCCUACGGGAGGCAGCAGUGGGGAAUAUUGCACAACGGGCGCAAGCCUGAUGCAGCGGCGCCGCGUGAGGGAUGACGGCCUUCGGGUGGUAAACCACUUUCUGCACAGACGAAGAGGAAGUGACGGUAUCUGCAGAAGAAGCACCGGCUAACUACGUG